rnacentral:rRNA from 1 species
AUUGAACGCUGGCGGCAGGCCUAACACAUGCAAGUCGAACGAGGGGCGGAGGGGUGAGAAAUGUGGGGGAAACUGCCUGAGGGAGGGGGAUAACUACUGGAAACGGUAGCUAAUACCGCAUACCAUCAGAAGUGCCCAGAUGGGAUUAGCUUGGUGGGGGGGUAAGGGCUCACCAAGGCGACGAUCCCUAGCUGGUCUGAGAGGAUGACCAGCCACACUGGAACUGAGACACGGCCCAGACUCCUACGGGAGGCAGCAGUGGGGAAUAUUGCACAAUGGGCGCAAGCCUGAUGCAGCCAUGCCGCGUGUAUGAAGAAGGCCUUCGGGUUGUAAAGUACUUUCAGCGGGGAGGCGUUACCCGCAGAAGAAGCACCGGCUAACUCCGUGCCAGCAGCCGCGGUAAUUC